GCCUCAGUAGCUCAAUGGUAGAGCUUCUGGCUUCCAACCAGAUGACGCGAGUCCGAUUCUCGCCUGGGGUUCCA
rnacentral:tRNA from 1 species